AGAUUAAAACUAAGAAAAUUGAGUCGUUUUCAGCAUAUGCUGAGAAUAUGAAAUGAAGAAUUUGAUACAAACAAGGGCACAUGUUAAAUUUUAGGAACAUAACAAUGAAAUUGAGGCUCUGCACCAAAACAAGUUUUGGAGCAUUCUGUUGGAAAUAAAGAGGUGGAAUACAAUGAUUGCAUCGUCCGAGGUUACUUGGGUCUGUAAACUAAUUUUGUACAUUUUUUUUCUUUCUUUCUUGAACUUCAUUUUCUCACCCUUCAUUAGUUAAUUAGCCAAUCCAUAAUAUAUACAUUUAGGGGUUUUUCUAGGUCCAAUCAUCGCAUACGUGGCAUCUCAUGAUUGGCUAAUUUCAUUAAAAAUCCUACAUGGCAAUCAUUCCUCCUUUCCUCUUAAUGUACACCCUUUUCCUUGACCUACACUCCUCUCUAUUUAAAAGCCUAUAUAAGACGCUUAUUCUUCAUUCAUCUCUCCAUUAUUUGGAUUUCUCCUUAACCUACUCUGCUUCUUCAAUCAUCUCCUGCGUUUUGUAUUUUUUGAGCCUUUCUACAUGGCUUCAAGAUCUCAUUUUGUGGUUCUUCAUGAUUAUACAAGGAUUAUGGUGUCAUUAGACCUAUAGACGCUGAAAAUAACAAUUUCACGAAUAUGGAUCAAGGGUAUAUUAUUAUUAUUGAUCCCGUGAGUGUUCUACAAAUUAAUGGAAAUUAGAGACGGUGACAUAGUUUGUUUUAGGUUUGAAAGAAUAGAAAAUAGAAUUAUUGAAGUUAAGGUGGUGUAUGGAAAUAUUUAGUUAGUUGUUAUUCAUUCUAAAAUUUAAUCAGUUGUUGUUUUGUCUUGGGUAUCUUUUCGUGGUUUUGUUUUUCUGAAUCUACAUGAGAGGAUUGUUCUCAUGAUUUAAUUUGUUUAUCAAAUAAAAUCCAAGAUUAAUUGUUA